GAUGAACGCUGGCGGCGUGCCUAAUACAUGCAAGUCGAGCGAACAGACGAGGAGCUUGCUCCUCUGACGUUAGCGGCGGACGGGUGAGUAACACGUGGAUAACCUACCUAUAAGACUGGGAUAACUUCGGGAAACCGGAGCUAAUACCGGAUAAUAUAUUGAACCGCAUGGUUCAAUAGUGAAAGACGGUUUUGCUGUCACUUAUAGAUGGAUCCGCGCCGCAUUAGCUAGUUGGUAAGGUAACGGCUUACCAAGGCAACGAUGCGUAGCCGACCUGAGAGGGUGGUCGGCCACACUGGAACUGAACCACGGUCCAGGCUCCUACGGGAGGCAGCAGUAGGGAAUCUUCCGCAAUGGGCGAAAGCCUGACGGAGCAACGCCGCGUGAGUGAUGAAGGUCUUCGGAUCGUAAAACUCUGUUAUUAGGGAAAAACAAAUGUGUAAGUAACUAUGCACGUCUUGACGGUACCUAAUCAGAAAGCCACGGCUAACUACGUG
rnacentral:rRNA from 1 species